rnacentral:rRNA from 1 species
UACAGAGGGUGCAAGCGUUGUUCGGAAUUAUUGGGCGUAAAGGGUGCGUAGGCGGUUUGGUAAGUCUUAUGUGAAAUCUAUGGGCUCAACUCAUAGUCUGCAUGAGAAACUGCCGGGCUUGAGUAUGGGAGAGGUGAGUGGAAUUCCUGGUGUAGCGGUGAAAUGCGUAGAUAUCAGGAGGAACACCUGUGGCGAAAGCGGCUCACUGGACCAUAACUGACACUCAUACACGAAAGCGUGGGGAUCAAACAGG